UACGUAGGGUGCAAGCGUUGUCCGGAAUUAUUGGGCGUAAAGAGCUCGUAGGCGGCUUGUCGCGUCGGCUGUGAAAACCUGGGGCUCAACCCCGGGCCUGCAGCCGAUACGGGCAAGCUAGAAUUCGGUAGGGGAGACUGGAAUUCCUGGUGUAGCGGUGAAAUGCGUUGAGAUCGGCAGGAACGCCCGUGGCGAAAGCGAGGUCCUGGACGUCUACUGACGCUGAGACGCGAAAGCUAGGGGAGCAAACGGG
rnacentral:rRNA from 1 species